UUUAAGAUUUCACUUAAUUGAUACGUAGAGGUGGUGGAUUAUGAUCGAAAAAUUAGUAGUUCAAAAGGUUCGUUACUGGUGAAAUUUUGUAUUUCAAGAGCCAUCAAAUUAUUUAAAUUAAAUAAAUUGAAAGAUUGGAUGCUAAAAUUAAAAUUUUAAAAGGUUGGAUAGUGGAAUUAAAAUGAACCAGAGUUCAGAUAAAUUUUUUUUUUAUAUAUAUUUCUACCAAAAUAUAAUUUAAAAAUUUGGUGCUAAGAAGUAUAGAAUAUUUCUAGAAGAUAAGGAGUGCAUGUUGGAA
rnacentral:lncRNA from 1 species